rnacentral:rRNA from 1 species
UGGGGAAUAUUGGACAAUGGGCGAAAGCCUGAUCCAGCAAUGCCGCGUGAGUGAUGAAGGCCUUAGGGUUGUAAAGCUCUUUUACCCGGGAUGAUAAUGACAGUACCGGGAGAAUAAGCUCCGGCUAACUCCGUGCCAGCAGCCGCGGUAAUACGGAGGGAGCUAGCGUUAUUCGGAAUUACUGGGCGUAAAGCGCACGUAGGCGGCUUUGUAAGUUAGAGGUGAAAGCCUGGAGCUCAACUCCAGAAUUGCCUUUAAGACUGCAUCGCUUGAAUCCAGGAGAGGUGAGUGGAAUUCCGAGUGUAGAGGUGAAAUUCGUAGAUAUUCGGAAGAACACCAGUGGCGAAGGCGGCUCACUGGACUGGUAUUGACGCUGAGGUGCGAAAGCGUGGGGAGCAAACAGGAUCAGAUACCCUGGUAGUCCACGCCGUAAACGAUGAUAACUAGCUGUCGGGGCUCUUAGAGCUUCGGUGGCGCAG